rnacentral:lncRNA from 1 species
UGAGCACACGCUUCCUUGGCCUGAGUUGCUCUGCUCUUUUAAUAACUUUGUGAACAUCCUGGUAGCUUUCUGCAGAUUGCCAUCCAAGGACCAUCACAUUCCUAGCCCUGGUGCUGACUUCAUGGAUCACUCAGUAGCCUGAGGAAAUCGCUUGUUGGAGCUCCACUUCCAGUCGUCUCUGUAGAGUGAUCUGUUGGAAAACCUCAGCUUCCUUACAGUCACUAAAGAGGAUUGUGUUUUACUUAGAUCACAAAUUAUAUUUCUUCAGCAGCUGUUGAAAUUAGGAGAUCAUCCAAGUCAGUUAAAGAUAUCUUCCUAAGGCAGUGAUGGAAAAGAGAGGACUAGAUACCAUAUGGUUUAGCACAGAAUUGGUUGAACACUCUCUAAGAAAAAGAAAGGACGUAAACAGUGCAUGACAGAGCCUGAGGGCCAGCAGAGCUCAUAGCCAGCUGCUGAGGCCACCCCAGCUGAUGGGAGCUGCCCACCAGCAGAAAUCUGUGCACAAGAAGCCACUGUGACCCCCAGGCUGGGUGAGAAAAAAGACAGUGAGUGGGGGAAACACAGCACAGCUGCUUUUGGACCCUCUUUCUCUUUGGAAAGCUAUCAGUAAGUGGAAGGAAGGAACAUAAAAAUUCCUAGU